CAGCAGCCGCGGGAAUACGAAGGGGGCUAGCGUUGCUCGGAAUGACUGGGCGUAAAGGGCGCGUAGGUGGUUAGAUAAGUUAUGUGUGAAAUCCCUGGGCUUAACCUGGGCAGGUCAUAUAAUACUGUUUGACUCGAGUAUGGGAGAGGGUAGUGGAAUUUCCGGUGUAGCGGUGAAAUGCGUAGAGAUCGGAAGGAACACCAGUGGCGAAGGCGGCUACCUGGCCUAAUACUGACACUGAGGCACGAAAGCGUGGGGAGCAAACAGGAUUAGAUACCCCCGUAGUCCCUGUCUCUUAUAC
rnacentral:rRNA from 1 species